UACGUAGGGGGCAAGCGUUGUCCGGAAUCAUUGGGCGUAAAGCGCGUGUAGGCGGUCCGGUAAGUCCGCUGUGAAAGUCGGGGGCUCAACCCUCGGAUGCCGGUGGAUACUGUCGGGCUUGAGUACGGAAGAGGCGAGUGGAAUUCCUGGUGUAGCGGUGAAAUGCGCAGAUAUCAGGAGGAACACCGGUGGCGAAGGCGGGUCUCUGGGCCGAUACUGACGCUGAGACGCGAAAGCGUGGGGAGCGAACAGG
rnacentral:rRNA from 1 species